GCGACUGUUUUACGUGCGCAUCAUCAAGUUUGCCCCAAUUGCUUAGAGAGCAUCAUUGGGCUUGGUUUGGUUUCUGUGUUGGCUACCUACUUGGAAGAAAGUGUCCCUUAUGUUUGUAUUUGUAUCGGCUUGCACCCUUUUAGGGGAAUGCUCGUUGAUCUUAGUAAUGCUUAUCAUAUUCCAUUGUCAUGCUAUCACUGUGUAGUGGUGGCAAUGGCCUAUGUGUAAGUAUUCGUAAUCUUGGAUGCGGAAUGCGGAAUUGGGUAUUGGGUUGAAUAAACCUUUUAUCCCAAGCAGAGCAUCUUAUGCUCGGCACGUACGACACUUGCAAUUGCGUUGACCUUUCCCAACUUCAUUGAUGGGGGGGGGGGCUCAUGCGAUGC
rnacentral:misc_RNA from 1 species